AUAAAGUUUGAUUCUUGCUUAUAAUUUUUAUAAUAUAGUUAUAAAUACAUGAAAAUAAUUGUGCUCCUUUAUAUAUAUAAAUUUAAAAUUUAAUAUAAAAUAAAUCUCAGUAUUUAAUUUUAAGGUAAUUAAUUAAAAUUAGAAUUGGUAACUAUUUAAAUCCUGGCUAAAAUUUGUGCCAGCAGUCGCGGUUAAACUUAAAGGGUGAGUAAAUAUAAAUUAGUAUGUAGUAUAAAUUUGAUUUAUUGAUUUUUAUUAUCUUUAUAUAAAGGUGAAAUUAAUAUUUUGAGAAUAAUAAAGAUUUAAGUAUAAUUUAAAAUAAGCUAUAAAUUUUAAUAUAUAAACUAGGAUUAGAUACCCUAUUAUAAUUAAAGUGAAAAUUUACUAGAAUAUUAAUAGUUAUUUUCUUAAAAUUCAAAGAAUUUGGCGGUGUUUUAGUCCUCUUAGAGGAACCUGUCUCUUAAACGAUAAACCACGAAUAUCUUACCUAUUUUAAGUUUGUAUACCGUCAUUAUUAGAUAACUUUGAUAAAAUUAGUUGUUGUAAUUACUUAAGUAAGUAAAUUAGAUCAAGGUGCAGUUUAUAAAUAGGAGAAGAUGGGUUACAAUAAUAAUAGUUUAAAUGGAUUUAUUUAUGAAAUUAAAUAAUGAAGGUGGAUUUAAUUGUAAUAUUAAUUAUUUUAAUAAUUUGAUAUAGGCUCUAAAAUAUGUACAUAUCGCCCGUCGCUUUCACCUAAAAGUGAAAUAAGUCGUAACAAAGUAGGUGUACUGGAAGGUGUAUCUAGAAGUU
rnacentral:ncRNA from 1 species